rnacentral:rRNA from 1 species
UACAGAGGUCUCAACCGUUGUUCGGAUUCAUUGGGCGUAAAGAGCGUGUAGGCGGCCCGGUAAGUCCGCUGUGAAAGUCCAGGGCUCAACCCUGGAAUGCCGGUGGAAACUGUCGGGCUAGAGUCCGGAAGAGGCGAGUGGAAUUCCUGGUGUAGCGGUGAAAUGCGCAGAUAUCAGGAGGAACACCGACGGCGAAGGCAGCACUCUGGGCCGGUACUGACGCUGAGGAGCGAAAGCAUGGGGAGCGAACAGG